rnacentral:misc_RNA from 1 species
GUAUUUGAUUUUAUUUAUCAAAAAAAUUCAGGCAAAAUUGAAGCGAGUUUAAGGAAAAAAGUCCCCCGGCUUGCGCCCGAGGCCUUCCUUCGUUCAAUGAGUGCACAUAAGGAUGAAUCGUGGUUCUGCCGAACCGCCAAAAAGGCGAACGACAGUUAACCUUGUAAUGAUCCUUCCGCAGGUUCACCUACGGAAA